CUACUCCCCAGCCUCUCCACCUGCUCAGUGGCCCGGGCUGCUGGCCUGGGUGUGUGAUACACAACAGGCUGCCUGGCUUUUCAGCUUCUGGUUGUGAGCGCUGACACCCGGGGGAGGCCACCUUGGACCCGCCCCAGCCAAACAACAGGAUGACUUCUGCUUCAUGAGUGACCCCAGGUGAGACCACCAGCCGAACCCAGCGCGAUCUGCUCACCCCAGAUAGUUGUUGUAAGCCGCGCCGCUGGGGGCUGGCUGCUUGCCCAGCAGUCGGUAUCCGGCACGCGGAGCCAGCAGGAACUUUCUCCGGGUCACCGUGCAGCUUCUUGUAAGGGCCGAAGCUGGCUCCGCUGACUCUGGUGGCCACCACCUCUCCUGGGCGCCUCCCAGCAUCCCUGUUUGCAUUGCCGUGGAUUGGCAGCCUUUCUCCACAUCCCUGGGAUCACACAUAUUGCCUGGUUUCAUCACAGAUGGCGUGGCUGUUUCCCAAUUUUGUGUAUGUUUGGGGGGGGUGCUGGUGAUUUCCUAGAGGAGGCAGGCACACGUUUGCUCUCCCGUUUACAGACAUUAGAAUAAUAAAAAUUUAAAAGCUAAUAUGGGGGACUCACACA